rnacentral:lncRNA from 1 species
ACUUGGAGGCAGGGGGCAUUCUUCGAAUUAUGCCCUUAAUGUAGCCACCUGUAAGACCAGCCCUGAGAGAUUCAGUCCUCUUUCCCUACUCAUCUGUUAAGUGUUUACUGAACUUCUACUAUUAGCCAGGCAUUGGUCUAGGAGCUAGAAACUUAUCAGCGCACAAAGAAGACAAACUGUCAACAAAUAGGAGAUAAACACUAGGUGAAUCUAUGAGCUGUUUAUAAGGGAAGAGCGGGAACAGUACUUAGAUAACGUGGUCAGGGAAGGUAUCACAGCAGGGGGGAAAUUUUGGCCUGAAGACUGGAAAAAAAAAACAAGCCAGCCAGGCAAAUCGCCAGAGGGAAUGCAAGCCAGGCAAACAGAACAGCAAGUGCAUAUUCCUGAGUGAGAAAGAAGCGGCCAUGCUUAAGGAGAGAAGGUGGCCACAUGGCAGAGUGCAAGACAGCAUGAAAUAGAUGAGCUCACCAAAAGAUCGUCAGGGACCAGACCAGCAUGUGCCUGAUGCAUGGAUAAACAGAUACAACAUUUACUGCAAUUGCCAAAGAAGCUGCCCAUCACUGUCACGCCAGCUGCACAGUCUUCACUGAGGGAGCUUCCAAGUGCCAUUUUAUUAAUGUGGAGAGAAGAAUAACAGAUCAUAAAUGUUUGAGGUCUAUCCAGCCGGAGUACAGGGGAUUAUCUAUUAUCCUGUGAGCUCGUGUUUUAUUCAUCUUCGUGUUCCCGUGAAUUAUACAGUGCAAAAACUGCUUAGAAGGCUUCCCCUCCUAGACAGCCCAACAGCACCUCAACCUCAGCCGGAAUGAAACUGAAUGUGUUACUGCGCACCCAAACAGAGCUUCUCUUCCUGCUUUCUCUCUCCUGAAUUCUUGACCAGGCGCAGUGGCUCACACCUGUAAUCCCAGCACUUUGAGAGGCCAAGGCAGGAAGAUCCCCUGAGGUCAGAAGUUCGAGACCAGCCUGGCCAACAUGGCAAAAUCCCAUCUCUACUAAAGGGAGAAUGGGAAAUGGAAAUCUGGACCUUUCUAGCCCAGAAGAGAGUAGAAGGACAAAGAGAAGCUGAAGGCAGGCAGGUCACACUGAUUCGUAACAUCUGUGUGUCAUGGUUUCCCACCUACCAGCUAUGCUGCAGAGCAGGACAUCCAAAAUGUACAUUUUCCAAGAUCCUGGUCAGAUUCUACUCAGAAGGAGCACUCACAUGUGACUUGGAAGGCAGAAGAGAAGCGGUCAUCACAGUGGUGCUCCUCUGGCAGUGAGGGGAACAUGUGGGCUUUGGCAGAUGUGCGAUUUUGGGUGAGCCGCAAGAGUUCUGGAGGCAGCUGCAUCUGCUGGAGACCUUACAGCCUGCUGCCUCUCUCAAAGCUAAGUCAUCUCCUGUAUUAAAUUCCUUCCUUCUUGAAAUGCCUGGAGUUGUUUCCAUUUCUUUGAACAUCCCUGAUGCAAUGGAACUUAACAGUUCAUCUUAUUCUAUGGUGGAACAGAGAACAUAUUUUUAGGAAAUGUUAGCAAGAGAUGAGCUUUUAUAAAUCCCUCCCCUCCUUAACCCACCAGCAAAUCCUUUUGCCUUGUCUUACAAGUCAGCUUGCAUAGUCACUUCCUAAUCCUGUGAUGAUCACUCCAGGGCAAACACCCCUAGCUCCCAUCCAGUCCCCCUCAUCUAACAUAAGACGUAGACAGAGACUCAGCACUACAGCUUCUUCUGGGUCCCCCGCAUUGCUCUCAUGGUCAAAGGUCUUCUGUGGCUAUAUCCUCCCACCUCAGAGCUUAAACGCUCUUACCAUCCAGUCCCUCCAGAGCCUGGCUGUCCCCAGCCACCUUUACAGCACUUCCCUAGCCCAUCACAUCUCUAGCCAGGCUGUUCUCCCUCCUUUCACCAGCACACCACAUGCAUCAUGCCUUGCUUCCUUCGUUCAAGCUUUCCCUCCCCGAGAAUGCCCAACCACAUUUGCAGAGACAGCUCAAGUCUUAGCUCCUCCAUGAAGACUUCUCUAACCACACAAAAUUCCAUCAAUACCUUGCUCCUCAGAACUGAAAUAUUUGAGCCAAGGAGAUUGCCUACAAAGUCCAGCUCAAAUUGUUGACCCAGAGACUUGGGAGUUAAAUGCAUGGCUAGCUUUAAACUACCAUCAGCCCUCUGUAUCCAUAGGUUCCACACCUGUGGAUUCAACCAAGUGCAGAUAGGA